CCACACCCAACGCGAACCUGAAAAAAAUAAGAGAGAGAAGGACAAAAGUCCUGGACGUGCUUAAAGAUAAUCCACACCCGAUGGAGCUCAAGACCAUCAGCAUGAGUGCCAGACCAUAGACGCGCCGCCGCCCUAUUCGGUCCCCGAGGUAACCAAACACCAGUUGCCCAAUAACGGUCCCGAGGAGGGCCAUGCCAACCAUGACAGAAGUCACCACCGCCGAGACUUCAUAAAGCUGAUCGCCUUCAUAUUUGUUGCUAUCACCGUAAUAGAUGCGGCCGAGGAGUCUCAUGAUCGGAGGAAUACAAAACAGGUCGUAAGCAUCAGUGAACAACCCCAUUCCCGCCACGAUUAUGGCCUUGAAAUGAUAGUAUUGUGUUCUUGCCGAGUCGAGAUCAGAGAGAACUUUGAGCGCCAUUGUACAAUUCCCACAAUUUUUCCUUCCUAAGUCGAAAGAUUUAUACCUAUUCGGUCCCCGAGGUAACCAAAAACCAGCUGCCCAAUAACGGUCCCGAGGAGGGCCGUGCCAACCAUGACAGAAGUCACCACCGCCGAGACUUCAUAAAGCUGAUCGCCUUCAUAUUUGUUGCUAUCACCGUAAUAGAUGCGGCCGAGGAGUCUCAUGAUCGGAGGAAUACAAAACAGGUCGUAAGCAUCAGUGAACACCCCCAUUCCCGCCACGAUUAUGGCCUUGAAAUGAUAGUAUUGUGUUCUUGCCGAGUCGAGAUCAGAGAGAACUUUGAGCGCCAUUGUACAAUUCCCACAAUUUUUCCUUCCUAAGUCGAAAGAUUUAUAAACUAGAGUCAAAUUUCUUGUACUCAUCCAUGCUUUAAAAUAAUUGGUAAUCCAAGACUGAAAGAGACAAUGGAAGUUGGAGGGGAAUUUCUUACAAACAGACAACUACAAGAGAAGACUUC
rnacentral:lncRNA from 1 species